UACGUAGGGAGCGAGCGUUGUCCGGAUUCAUUGGGCGUAAAGCGCUUUAAGGCGGUUCGCUAAGUCGCGUGUGAAACCUCCAGGCUCAACCUGGAGACGCCACGCGAUACUGGCGUGACUAGAGUUCGGGUAGGGGAUCACGGAAUUCCUGGUGUAGCGGUGAAAUGCGCAGAUAUCGAGAGGAACACCGUGCGAAGGCGGUGCUGG
rnacentral:rRNA from 1 species